rnacentral:lncRNA from 1 species
AAAAGACAAAUAAAGGCAUUCCUCUUAUGAGGGAGGAGUUUAGUCUUCUGUUAUCUUUAAUCCACAAGGAGCAGAGAAUUAUUAUUUGGAAACUGAAUCCCUGUGAUAUGAUGCUCUUCAAUGCCUUCAGAUGAAUGACCUGGGCACUGAGAUGGGGACUGAAUCUGACUAUUUUUUCUUUGAAACAAAAAGAUUUUCAUAAGUAAGAUCAACUUACUAGAAUCCAGUUGGCAGAAGGCUCAGAAUAAAAGUGGUGUUGCACCAAACCCUACUGGAGCAGCCUUCGUGAUUAGAAAGUACUCCACACAUUGAAGAGCCGAGGAGACAUGAGAAUAAUUUUAAAUGCAAAUUAAAUUGAGGGGGUAGCAGAGAAGAACACAUAAAAGACAGUAAAACAAAACCUUUCAAUUUUCUUAAAUUAGCAGUCUAAUGUGUUCUAAAGAGCAGCUCCACUCAGAUCUCUUCUUAAGGGUUGCAUUUCAUCACAGUAUAAAUGGGCAAAUCCAUCACUUCCCUCUGCUCAGUGCUCUUAAAGCGAGAUUGAAGGGAAAAUUAGAAGCUGUUCAUUUGGGCUUGCAGGCUCAGAAGCGUCACACUGCUUUGUUUUGUACUCUACCGUGUCCUGUUGAAAGGGGUCAACAAGUGCCGGGGAGGGUGCAGAGGCUGAGGCUGGCGUCACCUUCCGUUGCCAAGGUAACGUGCUCUGGCCAUUUUAUCCGAUAA